rnacentral:rRNA from 1 species
GACGAACGCUGGCGGCGUGCCUAAUACAUGCAAGUAGAACGCUGAAAGAGGAGCUUGCUUCUCUGGAUGAGUUGCGAACGGGUGAGUAACGCGUAGGUAACCUGCCUGGUAGCGGGGGAUAACUAUUGGAAACGAUAGCUAAUACCGCAUAAGAGUAGAUGUUGCAUGACAUUUACUUAAAAGGUGCAAUUGCAUCACUACCAGAUGGACCUGCGUUGUAUUAGCUAGUUGGUGGGGUAACGGCUCACCAAGGCGACGAUACAUAGCCGACCUGAGAGGGUGAUCGGCCACACUGGGACUGAGACACGGCCCAGACUCCUACGGGAGGCAGCAGUAGGGAAUCUUCGGCAAUGGACGGAAGUCUGACCGAGCAACGCCGCGUGAGUGAAGAAGGUUUUCGGAUCGUAAAGCUCUGUUGUAAGAGAAGAACGAGUGUGAGAGUGGAAAGUUCACACUGUGACGGUAUCUUACCAGAAAGGGACGGCUAACUACGUGCCAGCAGCCGCGGUAAUACGUAGGUCCCGAGCGUUGUCCGGAUUUAUUGGGCGUAAAGCGAGCGCAGGCGGUUAGAUAAGUCUGAAGUUAAAGGCUGUGGCUUAACCAUAGUACGCUUUGGAAACUGUUUAACUUGAGUGCAAGAGGGGAGAGUGGAAUUCCAUGUGUAGCGGUGAAAUGCGUAGAUAUAUGGAGGAACACCGGUGGCGAAAGCGGCUCUCUGGCUUGUAACUGACGCUGAGGCUCGAAAGCGUGGGGAGCAAACAGG